UGAGGAAUAUUGGGCAAUGGGCGAAAGCCUGACCCAGCCAUGCCGCGUGCAGGAUGAAGGCUCUACGAGUCGUAAACUGCUUUUCUACUGGAAUAAACCUUCCUACGUGUAGGGAGUUGAAUGUACAGCAGGAAUAAGCAUCGGCUAACUCCGUGCCAGCAGCCGCGGUAAUACGGAGGAUGCAGGCGUUAUCCGGAUUUAUUGGGUUUAAAGGGUGCGUAGGCGGGAAUGUAAGUCAGUGGUGAAAACCUACAGCUUAACUGUGGAACUGCCAUUGAUACUGCUUUCCUUGAGUCCAGUUGAGGUGGGCGGAAUGUGUAAUGUAGCGGUGAAAUGCUUAGAUAUUACACAGAACACCGAUUGCGAAGGCAGCUCACUAAACUGUCACUGACGCUGAGGCACGAAAGCGUGGGGAUCAAACAGG
rnacentral:rRNA from 1 species